ensembl:lncRNA
UUGUUUCCUACGAUGGAAAUUGAUUUAUUGGUAUAAGCAGCAGCAUUAACAUGAGGUUAACACGUUAAAUCAGCGACAACAAACAUAUACGAAAUCCAUUUUUCUACAGAUUAUUAUGAAUAGCUUUUGAGUAGUGGUAAAAUAACACCAUACAGAUAUAAACUGAUCUAUACAUAAGUGUGCAAAACACUCCAACUAAAGACGUGCUAGUAUUUGCAGACACAGCACACACUCACACACACAAUAGUGCACAUUCAAAGUCACACAGGUUUACGGGUAUCUCUCAUAGAUGUAGAACAUCAGAAAGGUGCUAUUCUGUCCUGUCUCCUUCAAUUCAAAUUCAAUUUAAUAAAACUUUAUUGAUCCUGAAGGUUGACCCCGAAUGAAAUUGGGUCCUUAGCAUAUCGCUGCCAUCUUACUGGUGGCUCCAUGACAGAAAAAAAUAUUAUGUUGAUAUUCACAUAAUGGGGAGCCUACCAGCUGCAACACUUGUUUGUGACUUCUGUUGCAUUGCAUACUAACCCGUGAGUAAGACGGCAGAGAGUUUACAGCUUAUUGCUCAGUCUUUGGGUCCUUCUAGAUCAAUGGUGUUCACACAUCAAAUAGAAUAAGGCAUUAUAGUUGUUUUGUGGUGGGACACGGGUUCCACAUACAGUACUUGAUCAUCAUUUUGGGAAAUGCUCCUCUUCACUCUUCUGGCAUGGUUGAGUUGAAAAGAGAUACAGUACAAAGCUUAAGCCAUCAGUUUGUAAAUGUAACGGAUGUAAACACAGGAAGAAACUAGCAGCGAUUCAGAUUUCUGGGAAUAUGAAUGGAAUUUUGCAAACUAAUCUCAGCUUUGGCACCAGUGAUCGGCAGUGGGAUCAGUGAGGUGAUCAGCAGUGGGGGCUAGGAUUUCUGUUUCUUGACACAUGAUUGGAAAAUAUACAAAAAGGCUUACACAUGCAACAAGUGCUUUGGUUGUCCACUAGAGGCCCAUUGUGAGUAAGCCCAUAAAGCAAUGGGCUCGUAGCCUCUAAGCUCCAGGUUAGGUUAGUUCAUCUAAAUAAAAU